AUACGGAGGGUGCAAGCGUUACUCGGAAUCACUGGGCGUAAAGCGCGCGCAGGCGGCUAUUUAAGUUGGAUGUGAAAGCCUAUGGCUCAACCAUAGAACUGCAUCCAAAACUAUUUAGCUAGAGUGUGGGAGAGGAAGAUGGAAUUAGUUGUGUAGGGGUAAAAUCCGUAGAGAUAACUAGGAAUACCAAAAGCGAAGGCAAUCUUCUGGAACACGACUGACGCUGAGGCGCGAAAGCGUGGGAGCAAACAGGAUUAGAAACCCCAGUAGUCC
rnacentral:rRNA from 1 species